CAACCACAGAAGACCUGAUAAGCCCACUAGAAUUUAUCGAUAUCGUAUCGAUUUCCGAGGGGUUGUUAACUUCUAACCAAUAUUUCAAUAAGUAAUUAUCAUGCAAAAAUAAUGAAAAUGCUAUGUAAUUAAAGCUUAAUUAAUAAACUUUACAAUGAUAUAAAUUUCUUUAUUAUUUGUUCAUUGUUUGUUGAUUAAGACUAUUGAUAAUUAGUUUGACUAUUGGAUGCUUUGAAGCGUCGGUAUCGAGCGAGCUCCCGGCGGCGUUUUAGUAAACAUGUGUGAAAUCAAAGUUGAAUGCGAUCGUAGUUUCGUAACAUAUGCAAAUGAUUUUCAUUUGACCAAUCAAAUAAAAGAUUGUUGUUUACAAUGAUGUAAGCCGCUUAGUUCUACGACAAAAAAUAAUGAAACAAUAAAGCCCUAAAGUUAGACGAAAAUGGAACGAAAAGUAUAGAAAAUUCAUAAUAGCGGCAUAUAUCGUAAAAAAAUUCAAUUUCUGCUGGUUAAAAUGGUGUAUAAAUUGUUAAAAUUGAGUAGAAAUUGACGAUCGCAUCGUGAUUCGAGAGUGCGGGGUCAUCAAGGCCACGCGGUUGAGAUUUUUUUUCCAUACGACGCCAUCUUGAAAAAUUCCAAAAUUGUUUACUCGCUGUAGUUGAAUCGAUAAAUAUAUCGAUUUAAUUGUUCGAAACAGAAACCAACUAUGCAGUGUGACGGAGACAUACACCCUGGUCCGUUCUGUCAAGAAUACAACGUUAAGAUUUCAUUCAUGGCUGUGCAAAGCUGAAGAGUGUCCUCCGAGACUGUCAAAUGUAGACAUUAAAAAUGGACUUGUUUUGGAGCUUGUGCAUUUUGCAUCACACCAAAAGUUGAAUGCAUGAACCCGGGGCGCCAGAGGUUCUUCAAGGAUUACAUUGAACUCAAUGAACUGUAUAACAAAUACAAAGAGUGUUUUUUCACAUAAAUGUGCUGUUGCAUUUAAACAAUAAAUUCAGCUGCUACUAUAGAUGUAUGAAUUCACAGAUUGACAACCCCUUAUUUUUUAAGCAAGUGUUACAUAUAUUACACAAUGAAAUUCGUUCAAGUUGUAUUGCAGGGCUUACAUUGUUGCAGCUGAUGUUCAUAUCUUUAUUACACUUAAGAUUAAUGUAUCUAUUAUAUAACAUGUGUUAUUGAAUUAUUGAUAUAUUGUUUGAAUAUACCAUAGCAUGUUUGAUUAUGCAAAAAAACUGAACAAAACUAUAAUACGUAUAAAAAAAGAUCUUGAAUAAAGUUGGUAAACAUA